rnacentral:tRNA from 1 species
GCCUGGGUGGCUCAGUCGGUUGAGCGUCCGACUUCAGCUCGGGUCAUGAUCUCGCGGUCCGUGAGUUCGAGCCCCGCGUCGGGCU